ncrna:unclassified sequences c-di-GMP-II-GAG riboswitch
GGGCAACACGGACGCACAGAUCCUCGGGCACCAGCAACAUCGGUCGCCCGUCGGCGCGGGGGGCAGUAGGUCCUUCUCGCCGACGGCUCGAGGGGAGCGAGUGGCGAGACCGGCCGUGUACGUG